rnacentral:rRNA from 1 species
CGGGGUGAGUAAUGUCUGGGAAACUGCCUGAUGGAGGGGGAUAACUGCUGGAAACGGUAGCUAAUACCGCAUAACGUCGCAAGACCAAAGAGGGGGACCUUCGGGCCUCUUGCCAUCGGAUGUGCCCAGAUGGGAUUAGCUAGUAGGUGGGGUAACGGCUCACCUAGGCGACGAUCCCUAGCUGGUCUGAGAGGAUGGCCAGCCACACUGGAACUGAGACACGGCCCAG